rnacentral:rRNA from 1 species
GACGUAGGGUCCCUAGCGUUGUUCGGAAUUACUGGGCGUAAAGAGUAUGUAGGCGGGUUUGCAAGUCAGAGGUGAAAGCCCAGGGCUCAACCUUGGAAUUGCCUUUGAUACUGGCUGUCUUGAGUUCGGGAGAGGUGAGUGGAAUGCCGAGUGUAGAGGUGAAAUUCGUAGAUAUUCGGCGGAACACCAGUGGCGAAGGCGACUCACUGGCCCGAUACUGACGCUGAGGCGCGAAAGCGUGGGGAGCAAACAGGAUUAGAUACCCUAGUAGU